rnacentral:rRNA from 1 species
GACGAACGCUGGCGGCGUGCUUAACACAUGCAAGUCGAACGGUAAGGCCCUUCGGGGUACACGAGUGGCGAACGGGUGAGUAACACGUGGGUGAUCUGCCCUGCACUUCGGGAUAAGCCUGGGAAACUGGGUCUAAUACCGGAUAGGACUCCUGGCUUCAUGGUUGGGGGUGUAAAGCUUUUGCGGUGUGGGAUGGGCCCGCGGCCUAUCAGCUUGUUGGUGGGGUAAUGGCCUACCAAGGCGACGACGGGUAGCCGGCCUGAGAGGGUGACCGGCCACACUGGGACUGAGAUACGGCCCAGACUCCUACGGGAGGCAGCAGUGGGGAAUAUUGCACAAUGGGCGCAAGCCUGAUGCAGCGACGCCGCGUGAGGGAUGACGGCC